UGUGUGCGCGCGCAUGUGUGUGUGUGCAGGCAUGCUCGUGUGUGUGAGUUCUGCAGGGUCCCAGGCCUCAGGCACACUUGGGGCUAUGAAUCACAGAGAUUUCAGCAGCAGGGAAAGUGAGAGAGAGCAGGAGAAAGAGAGGGAGAGAGAGAGAGAGAGAGAGAGAGAGAGAGAGAGAGUGCACUGUGACACACUGCUUGCACAUGGGUAAGAGCUUAGCGUUGCAAAAGCCAGUGCUGCAGAGACCUUGAGAUAACACACAUAGUUUCGGAAUUUUGGAGGCAAGACAUUUUCUGUGUGUCAGUACCUGAGGUGUGUGUGUAUGUGUGUCUGAGUCUGAGUGUUUGUCUCUGUGAGUCUUUUUCACUCGGGUGUGUGCUUUUAUUCAUGACAGUACAAAUGUUGCUGUUUUUGGCAGCAGCAGCUAGACAACCAUAUUUAUAUAUACUUAAGAGUCAGUGAACAUAUUUGUAUUUCUAGCACUGUGUGUGUGCGCGCGCGCUUAUGUGUGUGUGUGUGUGUGUGUGUGUGUGUGUGUGUGUGUAAUAGCAGUGGCCUAGUUGCGCAAUCAACAUUUGCUUUGCUUCCCUGCUCCUAGUGCUUCUAAAUCUCCACUCCAUCAACUUGUUGAUAUGAGCCAUUUGCUUGAAGCUUUAAACACUCCACAUAGCCUUGCACGUGUGCAAUGCAUUUUCAUACAUUUUAAUGGCCAUUUUGAGACAAGUUGCACAUGUUACAUGCUUUGCUACAUCUCAGUUGUCCUCAGUACAGUGUGGAGGUGAGGGUUUUUUUUUUCACUUAAAUACUUCUACCCAUGUUGAAUUUGUGAUUUUUAUUCUUCCCUGAUCUCUACAAACCGCCUGGUCGGAGCUGCACAAGGCUCCAUGUUUACACAGCUGGGGGAAGGCAAGGCUGAAGACAAGUUAAGAUCUGACCAGAGAUGGCCAAAAGACUUUGCCUUACUGUAUUUGAUCUCUGAUGCCACUGUUUGGCUGAUUUCAGUUAACUAGGCCUGAUCCGUGUAAAGCCUCUCUAGGAAUCCAGGCAGUUGCUGUUCAUGGCGAUUUCCAAUGGAGUGAUGAGAUCCAUGUUGACCAACUGUAUACAAGUGAGAGCGCUCCUACUGAAAGGAUUGGGUGUCUCUGUACAGAGAUAUGACAUGCUUGGACAGGGCUGUGGAGUGCCAGUGGCGUCUCCUCCAUCAAGGCCAACACACAGGCCAAGCUUCAGGGAGGCACCUGUACUUUUGCCUUGACAUAACCUUUGACCUGGAUGGAGUUUGGAACAUUUGGAACAAACUUUCCCUUUCAUUGUGAAACCCCUCGGAGUACAUACAGUAUUUUCACAGCACUGGCAAGGACUCCUGCAUGGUAUAUUUGUCUGGUAUAUUUGUCCUUUCUCGGACUCCAGUUCAGUGCCUUGGAGCAGGCCAAACCCAUCGGGUGCUAGUGUCUGUCAACAGCACAUCCCUCAAAGGUGUAUGAUUGACUGUGACUGUGAGUCUUCCCAAGUUCCUGUUGCAGAGUGAGGAAUCUGACCGUCAGUGACCGACUUUGUCACCCGGUCAUUAAAUAUUCCGAGGUGAUCAACUACUACACAGGAAACACUCAGGCGCAUCCACUCCAGCAAAUGGAGAGUGCCAGGCCCCUGCUGCUCGCCCCUGAGCCUCCAGCGCAGGACACAAUCUCGCUGCAUCUCAUAAAUGUUUCACCUCUUCUGCCUGCGCUUGGCCCCGGCAAUGACAGCAUCCUCUCCGGGUGGUAAACGCCACUGCGCUCUGUGCUCUGUGGUGGUGUGCAAAUGAGCGCACCGACAGGCCGCCACUGCGCUCUGGAGCGCUCUCUUUUUUUGUUGGCCGUCUAGGCAUGCAGGGCAACACAAGCGAUUCCCAAUGUGGAAGACUCAGAAGCCCCGACAGCCUUGAACACACCGUCGUACAUUUUUCCUCCCCUUUUUUGUCCUCCGACGCUCACAGCUAGAUCCUGGACCAGGCGCUUGCCAGAGAGCUGGGCCUGCUGUCUCGUCACGCAGUGCGAGCUAAACAUGUUUGCCAUUAAAAUCUCCUUAUCU